GAUGAACGCUGGCGGCGUGCCUAAUACAUGCAAGUCGAGCGAACGGACGAGAAGCUUUUUCCUCUGAUGUUAGCGGCGGAAGGGUGGGUACCACGUGGAUAACCUACCUAUAAUACUGGGAUAACUUCGGGAAACCGUAGUUAAUACCGGAUAAUAUUUUGAACCGCAUGUUUCAAAACUACAUGACGUUCUUGUUGUCACUUUUAGAGGGUUCCGCUCUGCUUUAGCUAGUUGGUAAGGUAACGGCUUACCAAGGCAACGAUGCAUAGCCGAACUGAGAGGGUGAUCGGCCACACUGGAACUGAGACGCGGUCCAGACUCCUAAGGGAGGCAGCAGUAGGGAAUCUUCCGCAAUGGGCGAAAGCCUGACGGAGCAACGCCGCGUGAGUGAUGAAGGUCUUCGGAUCGUAAAACUCUAUUAUUAGGGAAGAACAUAUGUGUAAGUAACUGUGCACAUCUUGACGGUACCUAAUCAGAAAGCCACGGCUAACUACGUG
rnacentral:rRNA from 1 species